UACGGAGCGUGCAAGCGUUAUCCGGAUUCACUGGGUUUAAAGGGUGCGUAGGUGGGUUGGUAAGUCAGUGGUGAAAUCUCCAGGCUUAACUUGGAAACUGCCAUUGAUACUAUCAAUCUUGAAUACCGUGGAGGUCAGCGGAAUAUGUCAUGUAGCGGUGAAAUGCUUAGAUAUGACAUAGAACACCAAUUGCGAAGGCAGCUGGCUACACGAAUAUUGACACUGAUGCACGAAAGCGUGGGGAUCAAACAGG
rnacentral:rRNA from 1 species